rnacentral:rRNA from 1 species
GACGAACGCUGGCGGCGUGCCUAAUACAUGCAAGUCGAACGCAGUGGGGACGGGUGAGUAACACGUGGGUAACCUCCCAUCAGAGGGGAUAACACUUGGAAACAGGUGCUAAACUGAUAUUGAUGGAUGAACCAGCGGUGCAUUAGCUAGUGGGUGGGGCAACGGCUCACCAAGGCCACGAUCCAUAGCCGAUCGGAGAGGGUGAUCGGCCACACUGGAACUGAGACACGGCCCAGACUCCUACGGGAGGCAGCAGUAGGGAAUCUUCGGCAAUGGACGAAAGUCUGACGGAGCAACGCCGCGGGAGUGAAGAAGGUUUUCGGGUCGUAAAGCUCUGUUGUUAGAGAAGCGGUAUCUAACCAGAAAGCCACGGCUAACUACGUGCCAGCAGCCGCGGUAAUUC